rnacentral:rRNA from 1 species
UUUUUUGGAGAGUAUGAUACCGGCUCAGGACGAACGCUGGCGGCGUGGAUUAGGCAUGCAAGCCGAACGAGAAGUCGAGCUUCGGCUCGAUGGAAAGUGGCGAAAGGGUGAGUAACGCGUGGGUAAUUUGCCUCUGAGAUGGGGAUAACAGUCUGAAAAG